UCUUUCUUCAGCCAGGCCUCCAGCACCGCUAACAAUAACAGCAAUAAAACAGGUACAAAAACUGGAGCUGAGAUCCCUGAUACACGACAUGCAAGCGUAAAUUGAAUAAACAUCUUUAAAUCAAAGAAAAAUAUAAUACUUGUAGAAUAUAACUAUGUAUUAAAUCUUUAGUUGUAAUAAAACAGUUAUCGGUCCAUUUUUA